GAUGAACGCUGGCGGCGUGCCUAAUACAUGCAAGUCGAGCGAACGGACGAGAAGCUUGCUCCGCUGAUGUUAGCGGCGGACGGGUGAGUAACAUGUGGAUAACCUAACUAUAAGACUGGUGUAACUUCGGGAAACCUUACCUAAUACCGGAUAAUAUUUUGAACCUAAUGGUUCAAAAGUGAAAGACGGUAUUGCUGUCACUUAUAGAUGGACCCGCGCUUCAUUAGCUAGUUGGUACGGUAACGGCUUACCAAGGCAACGAUGCAUAGACGACCUGAGAGGGUCAUUCACCACCCGGGAUCUGAGAAACGGCCCACACUCCUACAGUGGGACGCAGCACGGAAUCUUCCGCGAGGGACCAAUGCCUGACGUAGCGCAGCCGGGUGAGUCAUGACGCUCUUCUGCUCCUAGAACUCUGUUAUUAGGAAAGUCCAUAUGUGUAAGCACCUGUGCACAUCUUGACGGUACCUAAUCAGAAAGCCACGGCUAACUACGUG
rnacentral:rRNA from 1 species